GAUGAAGAACGCAGCGAAAUGCGAUAAGUAGUGUGAAUUGCAGAAUUCAGUGAAUCAUCGAAUCUUUGAACGCACAUUGCGCCCUUUGGUAUUCCAAAGGGCAUGCCUGUUCGAGCGUCAUUUGUACCCUCAAGCUUUGCUUGGUGUUGGGCGUCUUGUCUCUAGCUUUGCUGGAGACUCGCCUUAAAGUAAUUGGCAGCCGGCCUACUGGUUUCGGAGCGCAGCACAAGUCGCACUCUCUAUCAGCAAAGGUCUAGCAUCCACUAAGCCUUUUUUUCAACUUUUGACCUCGGAUCAGGUAGGGAUACCCGCUGAACUUAAGCAUAUCAUAAGCGGAGGA
rnacentral:misc_RNA from 1 species